UGACUUGUUGCUCAGACUUCACCCUGUGGACUGCCCCUCAACUGUGGUAACUUGGUUGCUGGUGUUUCGGACUCUGACCCUGACCUGUCAUAGACCUACUCCAGUUUUUUCCUCCUGAUCUGGCUCCCAUAAUGCAGGAAACCUCCUCUAAUUUCCUGAUGGCACAUAAAAGGAGCUUUGUUCAAAGACUGAGAGUGCUGAACUCGAACCUCUAUGCUUUUGGAGCCUGAGCACCGUGAGGAAAUGGCCAGAGGACUGCAUAAUCUACCAGACCGGCACGCCACACCACUUUGCAUGGGCCCUGCCAACAUGCGAGGAACUUACUUGUAGAGCUUUGCAGAAGAACUAGGACAUGCUGCCCUACCUGGAACUCGCAUUCCCUUGUUUUAUUUUGUUGUACUGUUCUUUCUGGUUCUUUUGAGCAUUUUCUAAGUUACCGGCUGCCACUCUAUUGGCAGUUCUCAGUCUUUCUCUACAUAACCUCUACAUAACGGGAGUGUGCUGUCCCUUUCCCCUCUGUCCCAUCCCUCACAAACUAUGUCCAAUAAGCUCCUCGGGGAAUGCUGGGUUACCAAGGGAUGAGUGAAUCUUCACCACAUUAAGUGAUAGCCUUCUAAAGCCAACGAUUUAAUUUUUUUGUGAAUGGCUCAGCUGGUGACAUUACUUGGAUAGAUUUCCAAUUUAAGUGAAGCAAUCUUCGUAGAAAAGAAUGAACUGGAGAAAGCCUUCCAGAUUGUUAACAUUUUAAUGGCAAAAUAGGGUCUGUCCGUCCCCCCACUCCAACUGUGGUAUGGAAACAUGCACAAGGGAUUCAACUCUGUUAUGUUAAAUGAAGUGUUUUAAGUUGCCACAAAUGUAAAAAUGAAAUGGGGCCUUGUUUGUAUUAACUGAACCAAUUUUUUCUAGUAAAGAAAUUGAUAGGAUUGUAUAAAUGUAACCGAAAGCAGAAAAUCUGGCCUCAGACGGGGAGCAUUAUAGGCUGAGGGUUUGGCUGGGAAGGGUUUCUGUUUAUAAAUGAGAAUCUUAGUACUGUCAAUGCCAGUCAUUCUAAAAACAUGACUCAAGCUCCCCCUAUU